GCUGGAAUAUCUCAGUUAAAGUGCAUGAUUGUAAACCCUACGAUCGGAGGUUUAAACCCUCUUUCUGGCA
rnacentral:tRNA from 1 species